GAUUUCCUUCCGUGCCGUAGAGCUAGGGAGCGCCCCCGCACCCUAUCGCAGCGCCGGGAAACGGCCAGAGGGGACUGUGCUGGCCGCUGUAGCUGCCCCAAACGGAGUGGCUGUGACAGCAACGGUGGCAACAGCUUCUACGCAGUGGGUGAUGUCUCAUCCCUCCUCGGAUCCCUAUAGGUCUUUGGGGCCGGUUUGGGAGUCCUGGGCGCGGGGAAGAAGGGGUAGAGUGGCAAGAAAGUGUCAACCGCGGAGUCCACCCAGUGGUCAGGUAGAGGAACUCUUGGGGUCCCCAGGGCUUAACCGCGGCGGCCGGGGCUUAAGGUCGAGGGCGUUUCUGAGGACGUGGCUGCGUAGCAGGGGCUGUGGAGCUAUGCCCCGGCCUGCUCUCUUACCCCUCCGGGAGAAGCAUCUGGGCCCUCCUUUUCCCUCUGCAGUGACACAAUGUACAGCCUCUCUGUACCCAAAGGACUGCGCCUCUGAAAGUGUUAGAGGCAGAAGUUCAUUCUCUCCCCUACCCCUACCCACACAACGAGGGAAGCCUUGUCUUUGGGGAAGGAGCAAAGCUGGAGGAGGGCAGCACACGCCUUCACCGCGGCCCGGUUACCCCGGCGCAGCAGCCCAAGGUGGAGAACCCUUUGACCAUUUCAUCCCCAUCGCACCGCCAAGUCAGUCUCCGCAUGUGACCUUGGAAGGUCAGUUCAUCAGACAGUGAUGCGGGGAUUCGAUAGCGCCUAUACUUAUGGGGCUGCCUGCUCUUGAGAGUACCCAUCUUCCAGCUCCCCUUCCAAAGAGGUCCAGUGGGCAGUUAUGCUCUCAACGCCCCAAGUGCAUUCCAAUUAUUUGAACACGUUUUCACUUUAAGCAUUUCUAUCUAGUGAAUUAAAUAAAAAAUCCCCAAAGCGGGUGUUCAGGCAGAUUCUGGUAAACUGGAAGUAACAAAGUUGAGCGGGAAGAGAAGCCGCUGUGGAAGAAAAGCCCAUCUUGGCAAAGCUAUCCUUGCUCCCUUUUGGAAGGAGUUGGGGUGAAAUAACAGUUUCAUGUUCAUCUUUUACAUUUUAAAUCAAACAAAAGACCAAAGGCAAUAGUUUAGGGCAGAUUUGGGGGGCACCCAGUUGUGUGCUUCGCCCUGCACAGGCAGAGAGGUCCGACCACUGGCUUCCUAGUCCGAACUCGCGGGUGGGAACUGCUAACUCAGCAAGCACCCUUUUCUGGGCUGGACCGAGGGUCUUGGCCACGGAUGUUCCGAGAAGGAGGCGGGAGCCCAGGCGACCCGCAGGCAGGCCACGUGGCUGUGCCCCGCUGAGGCUCGCAGCUUCGGUCCCGGAAACCCUGGGGUUUGGAGUUCUUUGGGCCGGCUGAAAGGCUAAGCCUUUGUUGGGGUGUGAGGGCAAGAGUUAUCUCUCCCGCGAGGGGUAAACAGUACUGUGUUUCCAAGGGAUGGGAACCCUGCUGGGGUUUUCCUUCACCAUUUUCACAGAAAUAUUCAGAAACAAUGACCGCAGCAUGCCGAUUGGCCUGCUUCUGGAGCCGCUGCCAUAUUUUAAAAUGACAGCCUGUCAGAAAAUCAGAUUCUACUUGACCUCCACUUGAUUUCAAUAGCACGAAGGCGUUUCUUGUCAAAGCAAAGUCAUCCCGUGCACCCUUGUAUUUGCAUCUUCUGCCUAUAGGAUUUUAUCUCUUGGAAACAGACAAGGCAGAAAUUCUGCUCCAUUCUCUACCAAGUGUUCUCUUUUUUUAAAGUCUGAAUUGCAGAUUAUUCAAAAAUUCUUAUUUUGAACGAGGCUGCAGAAAUCUUGAAAAUUUUCCACUUUAGCUGUCUUUUUUUUUUAUGCUAAUAUCAGUCUCAAAUCUUACUUUUUUUUUUCCCCCUGUAGUUGAGUCUCAAAAAGAAAGAGAUCGAAUGAUUGGACUCUUUCCUUUGUGACCGGGGGUAAGCAAGACAGGAAAGUGUGGGCAAAGUGUAAAGGAAACCUUACCUGACCAAAGGGAAUUGGGGAGGAGGAAGGGUCGUACAAGGUGGAGGAGAAGCAGAGUCCAUGAUGGUGCAGCAACCAGGGGUCAUUAGCCGGUGUGACUUGCAAAGUCAUCAAUCUCUAAGACAAAUUCUUAAACAAGGGAGCCUAGUACUUCUCUGGCACUAACUUCCAGCGGGUGAAUGGCUCCUGGCCUUCUGUAGAUGGACCUCACAGCUGAGGCCAAGCUCUGGAUGCCAGAAUGCUUAAAGAGAGUUUAAAAUGAAUGACCUAACCAGAAGUAUCCUGGCCAUGGAAGCUUCCCAAAAGGUCACAAUUGAUGACUUCAGUUCUAAGACAAAAUUUCUCUUGAACUCUUGCAAGGAGUAGAGGAUGAGACCAGUUUUUUGAGUUCUUAAGUGAGGCUGGAAAAUUACAUUUUGAGCAAAAGUAGUAGCUUGCUAGGUGAAUUACCUUUCAAAAAAUGCCUGGGGCUGGAUAAUCUUUGCUUUUGCAAACUGCAAUAUGCCAGUGGCAGGCUGUCCACUCUGUUUAUGUAUAGUGGGCUCUAACAUUUUAUCUAACAAUUUUCUUUUCCACACUUGCUGGAGCAAGAAUGGCUUUUUUUUUUUUUAAUGUGCUGACAAGCCAGAUAUAAUUCUGGAUAUCUCAUAUAUGCAACAAUAAUUUUAAUUUCCACAAUGUUUUGUUUAAUAUGUGAAAGCGUACUUCAUUCUGAAAUCCAAAUUUCAGGCUUUUGAAAAUCGUGUUAGGAGUUUUUCUAAGAGGACUGAACUUGGUCUGGAAGGAUGUCAGUGGAGGACUACCUUCUUUGGCAAUGCUAGAUUAAUUGGGAUUCGAUCAUUUUGUCUACUUCUAAAAUAAGGUCCCUGAAAAAAAAAUUUAACUGAAAGCAAAAAAAAAAAUUUCUUUUGCACUUGGAUAAUUAAAAAAGAGCUUUGUUUUCAAACUGCAAACUUGGCAUGUUUGCAGUCCUUCCUGAGGAAUGUGUGCUGUGUUAAAAAAUUGAAAAAAAAUACUGUUAGAAGUUACAGAGCUAGAAAUCUCAUACUGAGCAAAUGCAAUAAGUCUCUGUAUCCUUACAGUUUGAAUAUGCACUGACAUUCUCUUAGCAGCAAUGAAUUAUAAAUACUCUCAAAUAGGGAAAAGAAAUGCACUGUAGAAUUUUUAGUAAGCUGGUAAGUUUGGGAGUUUGGGCUUGUGCAAAAUGUGGGUUCUCCAAUCUGUUCCUCUGCUUCGUUCUCUUUAGAUGACUUGUCACCUGUUUUUUUUGGCUUUGAGUUCUGUGAACUAAUUUCUCUGAAUUGCCUAAGCGAAACCCAGGAGCAUUCCUACAGAAGGGGGCGCAAAUUGGAAGGGUUGCAGUUGAGUAGAUCUCAGAUGAGGUUGUACAUCAUAGGUUGAAUGGUAUUUGAACACUUUACAAGAGACUGCCCAAUGUGUUAUUUAAAUGACAGAAUUUGAUUAAAGUGGAAUAUAAAGUCUGUGUCUGCGGGAGUGAAGGAAUUUGACAACUCUAUGUAAAAGGAGAUUCUUCUUUGAUUACCCAGGUAGUCUUACUGAUGUUUGAACAUCUUGCCCUAAAUAAGAACUCAUUCUUUCUCUUUUAAUGAGGUGGUUUAAUUUGUGAACAUAACUAAUCCUACCUUUCUUUUUCUGAAUUUUUUUGAUCCUACCUUUCCUUUCCUGAAUUUCUUUAAGAAUAAGGAACAAAUAAAAUUAUUUUAAAAAGAAAUUAAGGAGCAUCUCAAAUGAGCAAAUGGAAAUUUCAAAUGGAUAUUAAUCAUUAAAAUGUCUGACAUUUUGUUCUCAAAUUGAAGAUUGAAUAAAGAGACAUAGGGGGAACAGGACUAAAGUUUGGUGUGGAAAUAUGUGGGGUCUUGAAUAACAUUUUGCCCUUUUUUUUUUUUUUCCUAACCGUAUAGGAAAGUGCAGCCUGUCCAUUGGUAUCCCAUCUCAACUGCCAAUUAACUUUGUUGAUAUACAUGCCCACAACUUACUACAAUGAGCUGCUGGAAUAACUGAAAAAAUAAUGUAAGAAACGUACAGUCACUCAUAAGACUUAUCAAUGUUAGUUGUGCUGCCUAGUAAGCAUUUGUGUGUCUUUUAACCAUCCAAUGAUUGGUAAUUUAAAUACAAAUCGAACAAUUUUGAUGUUUUCCUAAUUAAAGUUCCCUUCAGAGACUCAUACCCUUUAUCUUUCUUUGCUGCUUCAGGGGAUCUUCUUUUCCUGAAGUUCAGAGUCCUAAUUCCAUUGUUUGGUUUGGUUCUUCCCUCAGAAAACAUGUUGUUUUUGCCAGUGACCACAAGAGGACACAAUUUCCCAGAGAACUUAAUUUAAAAAGCUCAUAGAAGAAAGCUAACAAAAUAGCAGAAAUACCACACAAUUAAUGAGUAUCACUUUGGAAAUGUUUGGUUGAUUUAUAUGAAUUUUAUUGAAUUUUAAAAACAAACAUGCUUUAUUAUUGAAGCUUUAGAUGUUUCUAAGAUACCAUUUUUUCCUUAUUUAGGCCCCAAAUAAAAGUAUACAUUUCUGAAAAUAUACAAAAAUGCUACUGUUGUAAUUCAAAUAAAAAUGUUUAUAAUACACUAGUACAAUUUUGUACAAAAUUCUUGAUGACAUAGAAUUUUAGUUAGUUAAUUUUAAAGUCAUGCUUGGAGAUGAAAAAUAAUGAAUAUUUCAAAAUGCAAUAGAAAGUUUGAAUUUUCAAUUUGGUUGUCUGGGGUGUUUUUAUAUAGAAAAUUCC
rnacentral:lncRNA from 1 species